CAUGAAAGUCAUAAAAAUAUUUUCUCUCCUGUCAUCACAGUGUUUAUUUCUCUUAGCUUACUGGGCACUAUGUACUCAGAAUAAGACCUCCCAAAAAACAGCGCCUGCAAAAAGCCCCACGGGGCACCCUUCAUUUGGACACAAGCACAUGGCAAAACCCCCCCCCCCCCCCCCCCCGAGUCAAAGGCACCAAGGACACACAUUAGCCUGUCAGCACGGGCAAGUGUUCUUCACUGCACUCUCCGGAUUUGGGAACUUGUACAUAUUUUCAUAAUGAUCUGGCCAGUGUCUGCCUCCUCUAUGCGACCAUAAGCUGCUUUGAACAUGAACCAGCUUUGUUCUUGUUGAUUGUUGUAUGUCCAUCAUAACAUAGAGCCUGACACUUGUAAGGCCUUACAUAUCUGCUGAGGAAGGAAGGAAGAAGAAAGAGAAGGAGAGAGGGACAGCAGAGAGGAAGGAAAUAAGGAUGCUCGUUGCAAAAGAGAAAAUGCUGCUUAACGGUUGGCAUUAGAAGAGUUUGCCUAAUUUUUUUUUUGCCUAAUCUUUCAUGCAAAUAGUGCCAACCUAAAAAUACUCAGACAUCUAACAUGAACUAUAUAUUCACAGAGAGUGACUACCCUCAGAAAACACUGAGACAGAUCUUUAAAAUUUUAUACCAACCAUAUAAUUGGACCCAUUAAGGGAGAAAUUGGUUUUCUAUGCCUGGAAAUGGCGGGGGGGGGGGGUGGAUUUUAUUAUUUUUGAAUUUUCAAAAUAGCAUUUAGUUGAAAGUCCAACUGUGCAGACUUAUCAACUUCUGAGGCCAGACUAGGGUCUAUGUGGGUGACUUCUGCACCUGACAGAAACACAUCUUGGGGUCUAGGUCAUGGACACUGUUGGCUCUGGGCUCAUUCACAGGCUGCACAGCUACCUGCAAGCACUCAGCACAUCUGCCAAUGGUCACGUGUUAAAGCUGUUGAUUUGAGAGGCACUGGUUGGCCAAUCCGCACACUGUUUGAACUGCACCUGCAGUAAUUUUGCACUUGAAGGACUGCAGGCCUCAAAGAGGAGCACCAGUGAAGUAUUGGUAAGAGGCUCAGUGUUAUCUCUAGUGGUGCUGCAGGGCCUGCGAUGGCCCUCUUACAGUAAUCUAGGAAAUCAAGGGCCCACAGCACCAGACGAGCUGCAGGGGCUGGGAGGGCUGGGGAAGGGAGGUGGGCAGGAGGAAGAAUCAGGGCCCAGAUGCAGGAAGGGUAAAAGCACGGGCUCCGCAAGGUCUCAGGGCUGUGGAGCUCUCCCAUUUUCCUUCAGACUUUCGAAGAGUGAGGAAGCUCCUGGAGUGGAAGCUGGUACUUGGAGGUGGGUCUUUGGAGGUGCUUGAAUAUUUCAACUUCAAAGGUAAAUUUUUAUUUCUAAAGUGGUAGGGAUUAACGUGUGUUUAAGUAAUAUAAAAUAAGCUUGAAGUUUAACUUUCUCUGGGUAAAUGCCCUCUUAUCCAACAAUGAUAGAAAUAUCAGAAAUGAAGUCAUGUUAGUGACUAGAGUCAGUGAAGUACCUAGAGCAAAAUCCAGCAAAGUUUUCCUUCCUCUUGAACAGGUAGUACAGGCAAGUGGGCAGUCUAGCCACCUGACAAACAGACUAUUUGUGGAAUAUGUGCUCCCUGGCAUUAAUAAGCAGUUACCUGUUUCUAUAUCGAUGUAUACGUUAACAACAAAAUACGCAUACUUUCCAACUGCAAGUAUCUAUACUCUUGUACAGAAACUCCUUGAAGACAGUAACCCCUGCACCUGGAAAAGGUGUCUGACAGACAACAGGUGCUCAGAGGACAUUUGCUGGCUUGAAUGAGCCUCUCCAUUCACCUGUGGAAUUAGCACUGUGCCUGCAUCCAGCUCAGUUCUGCACUUGUCAGGAAAAUUAACUGGCAGGGAAACUGAAGCAUAAAAAAGAAUGAAAUGGACUGUGAUGGUGUUACAAGAUUAUAUACGAUGACCAAAAUGCAUCAAGCUGCACACAUAAAAUGGUGAAUUCUACUUUGCAUAAAUACCUUAACCAAAAAAAAAAAAAAAAAGGGAGAGAAAAAUCCAAUGGCCAAGUAAAUAGCGUGGGUCACCACAGGGACGCAGAUAUAUGAUCAUUACUGAAUGAGGCUGGAGGUAUUCCCAUGUGUAUAUUAGAAAUUUGUAUGUUUUUUUCUAUGAAAAACCUAUUUGUAUCACUUAUCCAUUCCUUUAUGGGGUUUUGAAUUCUAAAAUAUAAUUUGUAAAAGGUUUUAAAUAUUAAAUACAUGAACUUGGUCAAUAAAGAGACCUAAAGAUUUAUAGUACAAACAUGACAUUUCUGAACAAGACAUUUCUCCUGAUAUUGACAGACUAAGUUAUUAAUGUUUAGACUCUGUUAGGGGAAACCAUAAAUUUGAUUGGCUGUAUCAUAACAAUUUUUUAAAAAUUUCAAGACACUAUGAAAAAGCCCAUGAAGAGAGUGCUUGUCACAUGCUUUCACAAGAGAUUAUGUUGGUUGACUUGAAUCCUGAAUCACAGGAAAUGUCCUAGCUUGCGGGGAGGUGGGUGGCUGACGUCCACUGUUCCCUAAGGAAGACACAUGGAAGUCAAGUAAAAUCUGACUUUUAGGAAGCAUGUCUCCUGAAUUUCACCAACUGAACCUAUUGCUCUAUUUUAUCAAACUCUACCAAAUUUGUCUGUUCAAGUUUACUUAAGAUAUGUAAAGUUUCGGGGGGGGGGGGGACAUACCUUCCAGACCAUUAUACCUUCAUUCAUACAAAGAGACAGGUGACAAGGUUACACGACACUGCCUUUCUGACGUAUCUUCUCACUGAAAUUGUUAGUUCCCAUGUAGCUUCAGCCUUGCCUGUGUAUGUGGUCAACCGGAUGGGGGCACAGGAAUGCCUCCAGCAGCCCAUUGUCUGAGCACCUCCACUCUCCUCUGUUUAUGAAGUCACCCUCUGCGACAGGCAGGACACCAGGGCUCCUCCAUCCUCAUUUCACAGAGAGUGACAGAGAAGUUAAGUGGCUUGUGAAAGGUCAAACAACCAGCCAUUGGUCAGGACCAAAAUAGAAUCGGGGUUUGCUGACCUCCUUGUCUCCUGCUCAGACGAAUCAAGGACAAGAGAAGUGACUCCUGAGCUGUAAAAUAACAGACAGCCUUUUGAUCUUCUCAUCCUUGAAUAGGAUGAGUUAACACAUCUAUGUGGUUUAACAUCUCCCUGGACACCCAAAUGAGAGGCUAUUGAAUUGGUCGGGAAAACUGAAGGCCAAGAAUCCAAAAGUUAGCAACUUCCACUUUUCCAGUGGCUACCUAUAACCUCAUGUAAAAAUUGAAGGCUGCUGUGUCUCAGUUUUGCUCUCUAUGAAAUGGGGACAUUAUGGACUAUGUAUUGAAUAUGCUAAUCUUUCAAUAGAAGUAACGUAUCCUUGGGUAUCGACACUUAAAACUUUGGGAAUGGAAGAUAUGGACAUGGUUUUUUGAGCAUGCCUCUUACCAUGAAAACAAGAAUCAAGAGCUGGUGACAUCCUGAGAACAGCACACUGCACCUUGGAGCAGGACCACUGAAGACAGUGCUGAAGAACCAAUAGUGAUUUAAAAUAGGGCUUACUCAUCAUGCAGCGGGGCAUGGAGCCCUCAGUCCGGCACUAACUACCACACUGUAUCACCUCUGCUGUUCACAUCAGGCUUGACAUAGGGCCUUACUUAAUUCACAGACAUGCUUAUACUUCUGCAAAACUGAAAGCUUUUAAUUACUAUUUGUAGAGCAUCUAAGACAAUUAAAUGCUUCUGAUUACCCUUUUGUUUUUUAAAAACAUAGAAGCAGAGAGUAAACACUUCUACACAACCAUUAGAGCAAAAUGCCUUCCAAGGCAGAAUGCUUUGAAUACAUUGUGCCUUAUAAAAAAUGUAUAAAAGGAUAGCGCAGAAAAAGGCUGUGAGGCGUGACAUGGCCUAUCAUGUUGUGCAUGCAUGAGUUAGUUCUUACAAGAUCAGAACGAGGAGCUAAGAUGAAUACCAUUCAACCUAAGCCUGAUGCGUUGGAAGUUCAGUAUCACAUCGCUCAGGGUCAGCUGAAAGAGCCACUCAAAGGUAUCCUGUCUGGAGAGUCAUGCAUUUUAAAAAUAUUUGAGCAAAUGUGUUAUUUAUCACCUAGAAUGAAGACUCCGUUCUCCAUUUUAAUGUGAGCAGUGAUCACAUUUAUUUCAUGAUACUGUCACCUCUGUGGUCUUUGUUUUUUAUCAUGAAUGUAUCAUGAGUGUCCAGCAUGUCCUCACAUUAGUCCCAGGUUUGGAGGAGGUCAUCUGGGCACCUGCAGGGAAUGACAGCAAACCUGGAACUGCAGGAAGACAGCAAGGCCCCUUUGGACGAUGCCAUCGCCAGAGAACCAGGGGUCUUUCUGCACGAUGCCUAACCUGUUUCUACAGUGUUUUACAUCUUACAGCACAUUUUGACUUUUGUGACAUCAAUAAGAUUUACAUCAUUCUACCCAUUUGUCAAUAAAAGUGACUGAGAGAGGGGACUCUUCCAAAGUCACACAGCUACUAAAUGUCAGAACUCAGACUGGUCUUCUAAAUCAGCCCAUUUGACAUUCAAUAGAAUCUCUUAAUGGCCUUGAAGAAAGGUGAAGGGAGAGAUGUGAUACAAAGGAAUGGGAGGAACUCUAUCACUGGUCACUGUGUGGUUUACAAGCCAGGGCUGGUAGGCUUGAAGGAAACAGGAUAGUCAUGGGCUUGAGCCAGACCACCCAGCUUCAAACCCAAGUUUUGCCAUCACUAGCUGUGUGAUCCUGGACAAGUUUCUCACGUCUCUGUGCCUAAGUUUUCUUAUCUUUAAAAUGAGGGCAAUAACAACCUACCUCAUGUGACUAUCAUGUGAAUUAAAUGGGUUAACAUUUGUAAAGCAUUUAGAAUGAUAUCUGCUAUACAAUAGCUGCUGUGUAAGCAUUGGGCAAGUGAACGAAUACAUUAUUCUACCGUGAGGUGGAGUGUUCUUCUCCAGUUGACAUAAACAACUUACUGAUGAAGUUAGACAUCACCUCACUGAUAUCUUAUUAAACGUUCCUUUUAACUAAUCCUGAUACUUUUCCUUGCCAUUAUGACCAACAGAAAUACAGGCCUCUUUCCUCACUGAUUUUAAAAAGCAAAGCAACCACUAUUGGAUAUCCAACCUGUUUCCCAGACUCCUAGGGUCUCUCCUCUCUCUGAGGUUUGGAAAACUGCUGACUGAUUUCACCAAAUAAUUACAUGGAUUGAUCAAAGGAAGAAACUCUUUCCGCCAAAGUGGUCACUGCCGCCCCCACCAGUGCAAUGCAGCUUGAGACCUGCAGCCCUGGCCAUCAGGUUUUGGUUGUCCUCCCAGCUUCCAUGACCUCAUAGCUUCAGUAUGUACGUGGAAAAGACCUACUUUGGAUAAGAUCUGGCCAGUUUUUACUGUCAGUUAAAAUUGCACAUGGCUUGGUCUUUUGCUCUUCUGAAAGCGUGAUCUGUAAAUUUCUGUGGUCUAGAGUUCUUGCAGAGAAGCGAUUCAAAUACAUUAAUUAAAAGGAUUUUAUCUUCAAAAUUACUAAUACCAUCCCACAGGAUGAUGGCCUUUUAAAAAAUUACUUACUAUUUUCCUGUACUCGCCUUUCAGAAACCAGAAUAUACUAGCACCACGCUGACUGCUAAAGGGAAAAAGGUCCUUCGUGCUUUGUCUUCACACACCAAUCAUUACAGCAUAAAUGUCAGAUGUAUUUCAAAGGAGGGUGGUGUAAAAUACGAAAAUCAACCUAUUUUUCACUCUAUGAUAGGGUGAAGAGGCACACAUAAAAUCAAUUCCUAUGAAAAUUAGGUUUUUAAUACCACUGACAAUGAGGAGCACCAAACUGGAUUAACUGUGGUGAUGAGGAACUUGAAUCUACCUAUGUUUUCAUCACGCAUUUUAGUAUUUUGUUCCUUAGGUCUAUUGUUCCUCCGCAGCUCAGUCAAGUGUCAGCUAUGACUUUUUGAGGAGCUUUGAGUAAUGGGAUCAGCUAAUGUUCUGUACAUGAAGAAACUCCGUAUCAUUCGCUUCUCUAAAAAUACGGCUGCCUGCCACCAGAGCCAAUCCCCAGUGAUGAAUAGCUAAAGGGACGAGUAGGUCUCUAAAUUUACUUCAUAUCUGACAGUCCUUCAGCAGAUACGGAUAAUGGGUCCCUCUGACUCACAAAUUCGACUCCCUCCUACUACAAGCAAGGCUUUUCUUUUUGAUACCAGAAAGGGCAAGGAUUCUUAAUGGCCCAGUGCAUUCCUCCCUUCCCCUUUUCAACCGCCCAACAAAAAUGUGUUAACCGCCUGUAGCAUCAGGCUCUCGGCAGCUGCUGGGCUGGAUAUGAAAAGUUGCAUAACACACACAUCCUCUUCACCCAUUAAAAGUCCAUUAGUAUCUGAUUUGAUGCUACCAAUCAAAAUGAAGCUAGAAAAAAAUUUAAUCUGUGCGUGAUAUACAUCACGCUGCUCUAGCUUCCUGACCUCCAGAGACCCAUGUGGUUAAUCUGCAUAUUGAACAAUUUGCAAUGAGUUCACCUUCACAUGUUUAUGUAGGGGAAACUGUAUUUGCUGGGUGUGUAGUUUGGAUUCAUCCACACAAAAAUGUUUACGUAGCCCCUAUUGUGCGCCAGAAGCUGUAUGCUACCUGUUGGGAGGAACCCAGUGGUGAUACAAAGUGGACAGAAAUAUAUCAAGUUAGUUAUCCACCGCACUGAUAGCUUGAACAAAAAUUUGAUGUAUUGGUUGUACAUUUUAGCUAAUCAAAGCUUAAAAAUAUAUGCUUUAUACUAAGACUACUGCAUGUUCUACUGUGGGUGUUUAGACCAGGUAAUGGUCCUUCUAGAGUACAAACACCUUUGUGAGGUCUAAGACUUUAAGGUACAUUUAAAAUUUCUCAGGUCUAAAGAAUUAAAGGGCUUUUAUCAACCCAUUACAUCGAUACAAUCACUUAAUAAACCUUGUUUUUUCAAAACCCACCACCACCAUCCACUGACUCAACCUCCCACCACGAGCAGUGUCCGGCUGUGCUGAAAUUCCAUCCACACAUCUUCAAGUCCUGUUUUGACUGAUGACUCUGAGAGCAUAGCUAAGGGGGAGUGUCAGCUAGUUUUAAAUAGCCGAAGUGACUUGUGACCUACCCACAUUUGGUGUAAUCAAAAGCUUUGAUACAACAUCUAAAACUGUCAAAUUUGCUUCAACGUGCUGUUUACUGACACCAUCAGUACUCCUCAUGAAUGCCCCUUCACAUCUGUGCUUUCCCUUGCAUUUUACCUAAACACUAUCGGCUUAUUAUGCUUCUGUAUAGAAAGGAAUCAUUUCAUAUUCAAAACACUUUUAAAUGUCUUUUUGACCGUUAUUCAUUCUCAUCUGUUGUUUUUACUUCCACUGUGUUCUGUAAGCAGGCCCUGUGCUAGGCACUACAGCUAGAAAGACAAAUGAGAAAUGGGAAACCUGUAAUUGAGCUAUUAUAUCAUAUUUUAAAAAAUUAAGCAGGAGAAAUGCGAGCAACAUAAUAAUCAAAGCAUAGAAGCAUUUGCCAGAAUUGAAUUUGUUAGGAGUUGUUUUUGCCCAAUUACUACUUUAAUUGAACCAUCCAUAAUUCUUUCCUCUUAUAUUUUUCGUCCAGAGGAAGCCAGACACAAGAGGUUAUACAUGAAGCCAGGAGCUAGUACGCUUUCUGACAGCAGAGACUCCCUAAAGUCUACCAAAAUCACUAGAGGAAGAAAAUAAGAAGUGAUGGUCCCGGAAAACGGCACCUGUCAAAGCCAGAACUUUGACUGCAUUGCUGGCGUUCCUGGGCCAGCUGCACAGAGAGAACAAGCCAGGACCCCGACGCAGUUAAGGGGAUGGGGGCCUGCCGGGGGGGCCCGGGUCAAGACAAACUGUGGUGUUGAUUGAGUAAGGGAGUCUCUGACCCCAGCUCUACCAGAAAAGCAGAGACCCUCUCCAACUCUGAGUUCAGGAAUACCUGCUUCCAACACAGGACAACUGUGCUAUGUAGACACCGUUUACCUGCCUCAGAACUGCACGUGUAUUUACAGGUACAAACACGGGAGACGGGGCUGUCUCUCCCGUCGUGCCCAUCUCUACCACUAUCUGCGGCAUAAUUUUAAUUACUGAGACAAGGCCACCGAAUGUUACCACCCGUUUCCUUCACCCUCUGAUACAUCUCUAUAUUCCCUGAACAGCCAAUUAGUGAUAGCACAGCAUCCAGGAGAAUGACUCCUAUAAUAUUCGGUGCCCCCAAUUCCCCACGCACCAUCUAGCGGUGAUGAUAAUUAUAUUAUCAGUAAUGAUGAUGCUGAUGAUGGGAAUCUCAAUGAAUUUAAAAAACCUAAAAACGCCAUUUUAACAGUGAAAUGGAACAGAGCCUUGAUUUUCCUUUUGGAAACAUUUUCCAAGAAACACAAAGUACUCAUAUUACCUGGGCGAGAAUCACCAUGGCCUCUGGGUUAGAGAGCAGGUUAAAACCAUCAUGUUUUCAACUAAGAAGAUACUAAUUUACUGAAUAAUUAAACACUGCAUUUCCUUGUUCACUGGCUUUUCCAAAUACUGAUAGCAAGGUGAUGAAGUGUUUUUUUAGGUUGGGACACAGGCUUCAGAUAUGGAAAGGCAAGGCUUUUACUUAUCAUGACUCAGUUUCAAAACUAUCUUCCAUUAUAACUUCAUUUACACUGCCCCGUCUUUGUCUGUAAAUCAUUUUUGUUGCCUAAACUUCUCUUGCCUCACAGAUGCCUAGAUUAAAAUGCAUCAUUACUACUGCUUUCCCCCAAAUAAAUGAUGUUGUCCAUAGUUUACUGCCACUUGAACUUUUCCUUAAAUAAAUGUAAAGACAUCUCUCUGGCUACCCACCACAUGUAUUGUAUUUCUAUUACAAAAUAUAUAAACAAAAACCCAUAAACACGGCCCAUUUUUAAUCCUUCCUUUCCAUGAGUCAGUACUAGCUCAACCAAUAACUACAAUCUCUCUAAUUUAAAUGUGUGCACGUGUGUCUGUGUGAGAAAUUAUGGUCAGGGCACACAUGUGCCGUGUAUGUAUGUCUGUAUAUGUACACUUUAGUAGGAGUAAGCCUGGCCUCAUCUGCAACUCCUGUAGGAGUUUCAGAUUCACUUUUCCAUAUCGAAUAACCCAUAAUCUCAAAUUCUGUAUGCAGCCCCAGCUAAUGACCUCUUCCAUGCCUUGUGAUACAGCCUGAAGAAACUAAAAAGCUUAGUGUGUCUCCAUGGCUGAAUGAAGAAUGAUAUGAAAGAGCCCACACAGCAAGAUUUUCUUGAAAAGACAUUAACAUCCAAUACAAAAACCGUAUGUCAAAAAGUGUGAGCUCAGAAUUUGCACUGAGACAGAGCACUUCAAAAAUUCAUGUCUAUUUAAACAUACAAAUACGGAGGGGGUCCCCUCAAAAGCCAAAAAUGGAUAUGAGAAACAAACAGGUGAGCAGGCUUUAAAAAAGUUACUCUGAGGUAUCCCCAAAAUAUUUAGUAUGUUUGCUUUACAAAAACCUGGCCUGCCAUACAGGUUGACUUCUUGUUACAGAAUAGGCCUCUGCUACCCAAAGUAUCUGAAUAUUACAAUCAACUGACUACAUACAUUGCAACUUCCACUGCUUUACAUGAGGAGUCUCUUUCUAAAAUACAUUACUGACUGUCUGAAGUACUGGCUUGUUCUCAAAUUGCUUGUGGAAAUGCUCUGAGUUUCCACAUGCCCACCACCAACUCGGGGCAUCUGCCUGCAGCACAGACACAGCAUGGGAAGAUCCAUUCAUGCGAUUUCAAUCAUUUUUCAUCCGUAACCUCUAUGGCAUAAGGGCAAGUUGCUUAGUAAAAGGGAGAAUGCUUUCACAUCAGACAAGCAUUUGGAAUCUUUUUUCCACCCAUAUACCAGGGACAGUUUCCCAUUUAAAGAAAGAGAAAAAAAUAAAUCCUCUUUAUAAUUGGAAAGAGCUUUCCUCUACAGCUCUGUUAGACAUUGCUGGGAAGAAAAACAUUUCCAAGUUUAUGAGGCAGAUUUCACUGAAGGUGCAUCAAAGAAAACCUAAACUGGUUCUUCUUAUGAAUCAGUCUUAAUAAGACUGACAAACAUUCACCAUGAACAAAAGCCUCAAAAUGUGGCAUCUACUGUCUGUGGCUACUUCCUUUUCAGGUAUCACUAGAUGACCUACCUAGCGGAGGGGGUCAGGAGUUCAAGGGGUCAGGUAUUCAAUGGUUUUGUUUGGUCAUUUUGCCCAUCUAUAACAAGGAAAUUUAAAAAAAUUUAAAAAGCACCCAGCAGAAAGAUGAAGAUUAAUAUUAGGAGGCCUACAAGGUUUUUGAGCCCUUGAGUGAAAAAAAUUAUUCCAUUCAUAAGUGCUAUAUAUUAUUUCACCAAAGGAUUUCAGUUUACUCCCAAAUGACAGCUCCUGGGUCAGAGGCAGACAACAGAACAGAAAAGCACGUCCUAACCAAACGUCCCCCAGGCGGAGCUGGUCCUCUUCCGACCCCCCAGCCCCACUCCCAACAGGCCUCGCUACGCAUCCCUGUAGUUACGCCGUUCUGAAAACAGGGCACAGUCCAGCGUGUGUGCCUGCUGCCUUCUCAAGGGCUGAGGCCUCGCUGUGGAGGUCAAGGCGGUACACGAGGAGGCAGCGAAGGCCAAGCUUGCAGAUCUGAGACAUGAGUAGAAACAGAACUAGAUGACUCUCCCUUUGGCACGUUUAAUCUAGUGUUCUAGAAGAAGCAGUCCUUUGUUGGGGCACUGCUGAGAAUGCAGUGACCUUGGAGAACACGGGCGAGAUCGCUCCGGCUGCCUCCCUGCCCUCAUUCCUCACUGGUCACUGGGCAGCAAGCAGCAGUCACCAAGCCCCCCGCUUCCCUUCACGUCUGAUUUCUCUGCCUUUGUUUGUUACCCCUGAUUAGAGUUCCUCUGUUUCUAUUACAUGAAUUAACACAUUCAUAAUGUAUUAAGGAAAGAAAUGAUGCAGGUGCCUAGGCAGAGUUUGUUUUAGGCAGAGGAUGGGGAGAGAGCAAGGAGUUGAGUGGCUUCUUCAAAUUCUUUUUGUUCCAGAACAAUUUUUUAUUCUGUUCCACUUGAGCGGAAGAAAGAAAGAAGGAUUUUCACACAGAGAAGCAUAUCCUUGUAAUGCAUCUAAAUACAGUGCAUUUAGGAAGGAGUAACAGUGAGAUUAUUUUUUUGAGGCAUAUAUUAAAAUACAAAGCAUUGAGAGACCAUUCCUGUCAUCUUUGCUCUCCAGUCUGCCUUGAUUCCCACUUGCUUCCUAGACUGGUGCCAAUAAAUUCUCUUUUGCUACAAAAGAAGGGAGGGAGGGUGGGAGGGAAGGAGGAAAAACACAAAGCAUCUGCAUCCUGUAGUUAAGAAGAACCAUCAGCCUAAAUAGCAAAAAAGUUGGUCACUAAACAAGGUCACUCAACAAAGUCACAAAGCUGUGACAUGCAGGGGUAGAAAGUGAGGCUAGAAACAGCCUGCUUUGUCCUGGGAGCAGGGAGGCGGCCUGGGGUCACUUGGAAGGCACUGGGCUGCGUGGGAGUAGACCCGGUCACAGCCUUGCAUGAUCUAAAUUUGACUCCACAUAAAAACGAGAGCAUGAGGUAGAUCAGAUUUAAAGGUCUUUUGGCUUUAAAGUUCAACAUGGAAAACUCCUUGAGUCCAUCCCCCGGGUGCCUGAUAUUCUAGGGGUUCUAGUGCCCAAGGAGGCCCAAGUCUGGGUGCUGCUCUAGAAACAGAAUCAGGGUCCUCGAAUGGGUCCAUGUGUAUGUGGCAACUUGUUAAAUGAGAGAGGUAGCAAUACCAGUGGGAGGGAAACAGAUGGAUUAUUUAGGGGAUACUAUUGUAAAAGCUAGAUUACUGCAGAGAGGAAGUGUUAGACUAGUCCCUCACCACUGUAAAAACAAAAUGAAUCCCCCAAAACCUCCCCUUCAAAUGCUGUAAAGGUCUAGAUGUGAAAUACAACCGUGAAGCUAACAGAAAUAGCUACUGGAAAAUAUUUGUGAUAGCUUGGGAUAAGGAAAGGUUCUUCUAACAUGAUUUUUUUAGGUCAUAAAAAAUACACAGAUGGACUGGCUUACAACAAAAACACCACAGAUGAAAUGGACAGAAGAUAUUUGUCAUCUCUAAAAACGAACAAAGGAGUCAUAUCCAGACUAUACAAAAGAUCAGCAAGAAAAAAGGUAAAAAACCCAAUAGAAAAAUGUGCUUAAAGUAUGUACAGGCAGUUCAAAGAAGGGCAAAUUCUAAUGGCUGAGAAACACUGGACUGGCCAAAAAGUUCAUCUUUUUUCCAUAAGAUGGCUCUAGUAGUACUUACUUGUCUUCAACUUUAUCCAAAACAAUAUUGUUAGAUGGCAUUGUGACAGCUGCCAUAUCAGCAUGCAUU